rnacentral:rRNA from 1 species
AUGAGGAGGUUCAUUGAGUGCUGCUUGCUUCUAUUUCGGCCUGAGACAUGUUUGAUGAACAGGUGGAACUGUCAUCACAAUGAAAACCAUGCUGCUGUUGUGGACGUGGUGGUGACAGGUUGGAAUCUGAGUAACGCUGAAGGAAAGAGAAGACCGGCAGGAGAGGUGACUUUCUUUAUACACCCCCACAAGUCCGAGUAUGGAUCCGCGAAGGAGCAGCCAAAAAGCUCACAUGUAUCAAUUCUUAUUUCUGAUGGCAUGGCUGCCAUUGCCAAACUUGUUCUUGAGAGUGAACACGGACUAUUGGCAGCCGCGCAAUAG